CUCAGAGUCGACACCCAGCGGGCUGGCCGGCUGUCGGAAAGCGCGGCGGCGUUCCCCUUUCUACUACGGCGGCGGCGGCCGCGAUGUAUCCCGGAGAGGAGGCGACGGAAGGUCAGCCAGGCAGGUUGGCUCAGAAUGUGGAUGCUUGUCCGCCUUGCCUUGCACUGCAUUCGAUCGAUGAACGGGCAACCCGAUUAUGCUGGUUCUCAAGUGGUGCCUACUGCCUAGAGAUGAUGACUGAGCACAAUCUGUCACCGGCCAGAGCGGUGAUUGAAGAAUUGAGCUUCACUGUCAGUUUGAAACUUAUUAGAUUACCCGUUGUGUACUGCCCUAGAAAGCUGUGACUUAGUUUGCCUGCGGCAUAUGGCAGCUGUGUCGAUGCUGAUCUGAACUUCAUGUGAACUCCGUGCAUCCUGAUGUAACCGUGUUACCGGCAAACAAUUUGCGCUUCACGCAUUAGUUGAUCCGGUCCCUUGCUC